rnacentral:rRNA from 1 species
AUACGUAGGUGGCAAGCGUUGUCCGGAAUUAUUGGGCGUAAAGCGCGCGCAGGCGGUCCUUUAAGUCUGAUGUGAAAGCCCACGGCUCAACCGUGGAGGGUCAUUGGAAACUGGGGGACUUGAGGGCAGAAGAGGAAAGUGGAAUUCCCAGUGUAGCGGUGACAUGCGUAGAGAUUUGGAGGAACACCAGUGGCGAAGGCGACUUUCUGGUCUGUAACUGACGCUGAGGCGCGAAAGCGUGGGGAGCAAACAGGAUUAGAUACCCUGGUAGUCCACGCCGUAAACGAUGAGUGCUAAGUGUUAGGGGGUUUCCGCCCCUUAGUGCUGCAGCUAACGCAUUAAGCACUCCGCCUGGGGAGUACGGUCGCAAGACUGAAACUCAAAUGAAUUGGCGGGG